rnacentral:rRNA from 1 species
UACGAAGGGGGCUAGCGUCGCUCGGAAUUACUGGGCGUAAAGCGCACGUAGGCGGAUUGUUAAGUCGGGGGUGAAAUCCUGGAGCUCAACUCCAGAACUGCCUUCGAUACUGGCGAUCUCGAGUUCGGGAGAGGUGAGUGGAACUGCGAGUGUAGAGGUGAAAUUCGUAGAUAUUAGGAAGAACACCAGUGGCGAAGGCGGCUCACUGGUCCGGUACUGACGCUGAGGUGCGAAAGCGUGGGGAGCAAACAGG